GUCCUCCGCAUCGGGACCUCUAUUGCGGUUGGAUCUAGCACAGCCACGCUGUUCUGGUUCGAUAGAUAGGCUGGGGACACCCCCUUUGCCGCUCGCUUCCCUGACCUGUUCUCCAUCGCGGUAGACUCGCGGAUUUCUGUUGCGUUGGCCCUUAUUGACUUAGCACAUCUCGCAUUCCGAUGGCCUUUUGGACAGCGGAGAAUGGCGUGGCAGUACCUGCAUGACUGCAUUGCUUUGCCAGAGCCGGAUCUAGAGAUAGGAGAGGACUGCACUAGGUGGCGGCUACAGCCAUCUGGGCAAUUCUCCUCUAAAUCUCUCUACCAGGCUAUAGCCCCUUUGCCAGGUCCUGAGGCUCUCACUACCAUCUAGGCGAUCCGGCUCCCCAAGAUUAGGUUCUUCUUAUGGGAAUGGAUUCGUGGCCGCCUUCCGACCGGCGUAGAGGUCCUGCAACACAACGGCCCUAGUGAUGGGCGGUGCCCGCUCUGCGGACCUGAAGAGGAUACGAACCAUAUCUUCUUCACCUGCGUGUCCUUGCAGUUCCUUUGGAGUUAUUUUCAUGAUUUAGUGGGUGGAAGCUGGGACCACAACAACUUCCCUGCUCUCUUCGCCGAACUUCAGGCGUUACCACCCCGCGUAUCGCCACAUUAG
rnacentral:rRNA from 1 species